UCUCGAAGAUUCUGCAUGCCAGCGAU
rnacentral:sRNA from 1 species